rnacentral:rRNA from 1 species
AACGAACGCUGGCGGCGUGGAUAAGACAUGCAAGUCGAACGGGAUUACUUUUGUAGCAAUACAGAAGUAAUUCAGUGGCGAACGGGUGCGUAACACGUGGGCAAUCUGUCGAGAAGUGGGGGAUAGCUCGCCGAAAGGCGAAUUAAUACCGCAUAUGAUCAGGGACGACAUCUUCCCAACAUCAAAGCCGGGGCAACCUGGCGCUUUUUGAGGAGCCCGCGGCCUAUCAGCUAGUUGGUGAGGUAACGGCCCACCAAGGCUAUGACGGGUAGCUGGUCUGAGAGGACGACCAGUCACACUGGAACUGAGACACGGUCCAGACACCUACGGGU